rnacentral:rRNA from 1 species
CCUACGGGAGGCAGCAGUAGGGAAUUUUCGUCAAUGGGGGGAACCCUGAACGAGCAAUGCCGCGUGAGUGAGGAAGGUCUUUCGGAUCGUAAAGCUCUGUUGUAAGAGAAAAACGGCACUCAUAGGGAAUGAUGAGUGAGUGAUGGUAUCUUACCAGAAAGUCACGGCUAACUACGUGCC